rnacentral:rRNA from 1 species
UUGGGAAUAUUGCGCAAUGGGCGAAAGCCUGACGCAGCGACGCCGCGUGAGGGAUGAAGGUUUUCGGAUCGUAAACCUCUGUCAGAAGGGAAGAAACCGCACUGUGCUAAUCAGCAGUGCCUUGACGGUACCUUCAAAGGAAGCACCGGCUAACUCCGUGCCAGCAGCCGCGGUAAUACGGAGGGUGCAAGCGUUAAUCGGAAUUACUGGGCGUAAAGCGCACGUAGGCUGCUUUGUAAGUCAGGGGUGAAAUCCCACGGCUCAACCGUGGAACUGCCUUUGAUACUGCUUAGCUUGAAUCCGGGAGAGGGUGGCGGAAUUCCAGGUGUAGGAGUGAAAUCCGUAGAUAUCUGGAGGAACAUCAGUGGCGAAGGCGGCCACCUGGACCGGUAUUGACGCUGAGGUGCGAAAGCGUGGGGAGCAAACAGG